rnacentral:rRNA from 1 species
GUUCCGUAGGUGAACCUGCGGAAGGAUCAUUGAAUCUAUCAAACCACACCUCUGUGAACUAUACUGUUGGCCAUCUGCACCGCAAGGUAUGGAUUGGAACUGGCUUUGAAGCAAUUCGAGGUCAGAUCCGGCUGUCGUCCUGAGAGGCGAGAUAACCUCGCUCUCUCUCGUUGGCAUCGGCCUUAUGCUAACCUUUACCAACACCAAACCUUAACAAUCAAUACAAUACGGAUGCAUGGCUUAGAGCUGUGUGUUCACAAACCAAAGAUAACUCUCAACAACGGAUAUCUUGGCUCUCAGAUCGAUGAAGAACGCAGCGAAAUGCGAUACGUAGUGUGAAUUGCAGAAAUACGUGAAUCAUCGAAUCUUUGAACGCAAAUUGCGCUCGAGGCUUCGGCCAAGAGCAUGUCUGUCUCAGCGUCGGGUAAAUACUCGCUCUACAACACCCUUUUGGGUUGUGGAUGAGCGGACCUGACAGUCCCAACACAUGUAACAGUGUGGUGGGUCAGUUGAAGUGUAGCUGUUGGUACACGGACCCGUUCAUGGGCCUCUACUGGGUAGGCAAUCUCAUUGCUACAUGCUUUAGUAGAUGGCUUAGGAGCUGUGUGCUGGCAAAACAGGAAUACAUGUCUUCAUGUAUACACAUACACUUUUUCCUCGACCUGAGCUCAGGCAAGAUUACCCGCUGAACUUAAGCAAA